UCUUGCUAGGGAAAGGUGCCCUCUUUAGGCGUCGGUGCUCCCCGCGCCGCCCAGGAAGUAGGGUGAGCCAUCCUCACACACCGCAGCCCAACCUGGACGCCAGUGGCUGGGCACCCCGGGCCGGGAUCAGCGCGAGCAGCCGGCUCCCAAGCGCUCCGUGUCGCCAUGAACACGCCCUCCAGCUUCGGUUUCGCGUUCGCGAGCCGAUGCCGGUUCACCAGGGGAGCGCAGAGCGUUCAGCUCUGCCUUUGCUAGUGCACCAGGAUUGCAAAUGUCAGCUCUGAAAUUAAGCAGGUCUCCCUGCCCCCUACCCCGCGUUCCUGUGGCUGGGAAGUUUUGUGUGAGAACUAGACCGGCCUUCAGUUCAAUUUCAGAUUUAAGGUUUCCAGGGGCCUGGAGUUGGAAUCUCCUUGGGGAAGCUGGGCUUCCUGCCUAGCCGAGCCAAAGCAAGUCACCCUCAAAGGCAGAUCAGCAAACACGUAAAAAAAAAAAAAGAAAAAGAAAAAGAGAAAAAAGAAGGAAAGAAAAAAAGAAAAAUGCCAGGAGACUCUCCCCACUGGCUGUGAAGAAGCCAUGAAUGUUGUGAGCUGCCCUGUGGAGGAAGCCACAUAGCAAGGAACUGAGAAUAGCAGUUUCUAACUGACAGUCAGUUAGAAACUGAGGUCUUCUGUCCUACAGCUUGUAAGAAAUGGAUGCUGCCAACAGUCAUGUGGCCCUGGAAGAGGAUCUUUCCCCAGUCAAAACUUGAAGUGAGACUGCAGCCCUGGCCAGCACCUCCAUUGCAGCUUUCAAAUGAGACUCUGAAAUGGAGAACCUAACAAAAUAAAGCCUGGACUCUUGAUCCACAGAAACUGUGAUAUAAUAAAUGUGUGUUGUUUUAAGGUG